rnacentral:rRNA from 1 species
GAGCACGUAGGUGGGUUUGUAAGUCAGAUGUGAAAGCCUUCUGUUCAACGGAAGAAUUGCAUCUGAAACUGCAAAUCUUGAGUAUAGGAGGGGAGAAUGGAACUUCUGGUGGAGCGGUGAAAUGCGUAGAUAUCAGAAGGAACGCCGGCGGCGAAAGCGAUUCUCUGGCCUAUUACUGACACUGAGUGUGCGAAAGCUAGGGGAGCAAACGGGAUUAGAUACCCCGGUAGUCCUAGCCGUAAACGAUGGGCACUAAGUAGAGGGGU